AGAAACUCCAUUUUUGACGGCGACUUCAUCUGAAAUCUCCUCUAACCAACCUAUCUUAAUUUGUCCAUUUUAGUGAAUAAGCAAAACCCUAGGAUCCGCGGCGAAGAAGGAGACAUCGAUCUCGAAGCAGUACAUAUCGAUUUAUGAAGGUUCACCCAUUUUUGAAGGUUGGGAUCUCCGAUUCACCUUGUCGUCGUCCUUGAAAUUUGAGGUCGUAUUUGGAUGCAAGGCUAAAUGGAGCGAAAUCAUGGGCAAUUGGGUGAACAUUUGUGAUAUUUGGAUUAAGAAGUUGCUGAAAUGUCCUCUGCAAAUAUAGGAGAUGUAGGACCAGGUAGUUCAAUGGCUUACAGUGAUCAGAAUGGUUCAUCUAGUUCUUCGGAUUGGUUAGGGAAAGAGAUGCUUGAAUUAAGACUCGGAGACCGAGCGGACCGCGCUGAUGAUAGGGAAGUAAUUCAAUUGAUCAUUCGGGUACUUCUCAAGGAAGUACUGCUAAUACAAUAAGUGGAGAUAAUUCAGAUAAUGCGUCUGUUUUCUCUUUUAUAUCCGAUAACUUAACAUCGAUAAAAUUGAAUUUAUUCAACUCCUCUAAGCCACACAAACUAAGUCGUGAAUUUCUUUCCUUGGAGAAAUUGGGAUUUCGACGAGCUUUCCUUGUUUUAAGCUAUCUAGGAGGGAGGAAGCUUGAGGAUGUAGCUUCUGUUCCCGAUAUUAAAGGUCUAGUAGCUGAAAGUGAAAAACUUACUAUGGGAUCUUUUGAGAACCUGGUGUGGGGUCGAUAUGGUGAUGGUAUUGCUUUGUGUGCAGAGAUGGGACCUAGUGUACCUGGAAGCACACGGCAGGAUAUAUAUUUUUGUUCCAGUUUCCAGGAUCAUCCACAGCAGUCAGUUUUCUGGUCACUUUUUUCACCUUGCCGAAAUGGCGUGCCUCAUCAAGUUGAUCCCUCCUUGUCACUUUCAGUCAGGUUGG